rnacentral:rRNA from 1 species
GAUAUUCGCUGGCCGGCGUGCUUAACACAUGCAAGUCGAACGAUGAAGCCCAGCUUGCUGGGUGGAUUAGUGGCGAACGGGUGAGUAACACGUGAGUAACCUGCCCUUAACUCUGGGAUAAGCCUGGGAAACUAGGGUCUAAUACCGGAUAGGAGCGCCCAACCGCAUGGUGGGUGUUGGAAAGAUUUAUCGGUUUUGGAUGGACUCGCGGCCUAUCAGCUUGUUGGUGAGGUAAUGGCUUCACCAAGGCGACGACGGGUAGCCGGCCUGAGAGGGUGACCGGCCACACUGGGACUGAGACACGGCCCAGACUCCUACGGGAGGCAGCAGUGGGGAAUAUUGCACAAUGGGCGAAAGCCUGAUGCAGCGACGCCGCGUGAGGGAUGACGGCCUUCGGGUUGUAAACCUCUUUCAGUAGGGAAGAAGCGAAAGUGACGGUACCUGCAGAAGAAGCACGCGGCUAACUACGUGCCACGCUAGCCGC